UGGGGAAUAUUGCACAAUGGGCGCAAGCCUGAUGCAGCCAUGCCGCGUGUGUGAAGAAGGCCUUCGGGUUGUAAAGCACUUUCAGCGGGGAGGAAGGCGUUAAGGUUAAUAACCUUGGCGAUUGACGUUACCCGCAGAAGAAGCACCGGCUAACUCCGUGCCAGCAGCCGCGGUAAUACGGAGGGUGCAAGCGUUAAUCGGAAUUACUGGGCGUAAAGCGCACGCAGGCGGUCUGUCAAGUCGGAUGUGAAAUCCCCGGGCUAAACCUGGGAACUGCAUUCGAAACUGGCAGGCUAGAGUCUUGUAGAGGGGAGUAGAAUUCCAGGUGUAGCGGUGAAAUGCGUAGAGAUCUGGGGGAAUACCGGUGGCGAAGGCGGCCCCCUGGACGAAGACUGACGCUCAGGUGCGAAAGCGUGGGGAGCAAACAGG
rnacentral:rRNA from 1 species